rnacentral:rRNA from 1 species
AGCGAACAUUGGCGGUAGGCUUAACACAUGCAAGUCGAGCGAGGCGUAAUAGUCGAGCGGCGAACGGGUGAGUAAUACAUGGGAAUCUACCUCGAAGUGGGGGAUAACGUUCAGAAAUGGACGCUAAUACCGCAUAAUCCGGGAACGGGAAAGCGCGCUGCGCUUUGAGAUGAGCCCAUGGCUGAUUAGCUAGUUGGUGGGGUAAAGGCCUACCAAGGCGACGAUCAGUAGCUGGUCUGAGAGGAUGAUCAGCCACACUGGAACUGAGACACGGUCCAGACUCCUACGGGAGGCAGCAGUGGGGAAUCUUGCGCAAUGGGGGCAACCCUGACGCAGCCAUACCGCGUGUGUGAUGAAGGUCUUCGGAUUGUAAAGCACUUCCAGUAGGGGCGACGAUGACGGUACCUACAGAAGAAGUCACGGCUAACUUCGUGCCAGCCGCCGCCGUAA